rnacentral:tRNA from 1 species
GCGUCUGUAACUCAGUUGGUUCAGAGUGCAACCCUUACAAGGUUGAAGUCGUAGGUUCGAAUCCUACCAGACGCACUA